rnacentral:rRNA from 1 species
GACGAACGCUGGCGGCGUACCUAAUACAUGCAAGUCGAACGCAGUGGGGACGGGUGAGUAACACGUUGGUAACCUCCCAUCAGAGGGGAUAACACUUGGAAACAGGUGCUAAACCGAUACUGAUGGAUGAACCAGCGGUGCAUUAGCUAGUUGGUGAGGUAACGGCUCACCAAGGCCACGAUGCAUAGCCGACCUGAGAGGGUGAUCGGCCACACUGGGACUGAGAAACGGCCCAGACUCCUACGGGAGGCAGCAGGAGGGAAUCUGCGGCAAUGGACGAAAGUCUGACCGAGCAAUGCCGCGUGAGUGAAGAAGGUUUGCGGAUCGUAAAACUCUGUUGUUAGAGAAGCGGUAUCUAACCAGAAAGCCACGGCUAACUACGGGCCAGCAGCCGCGGUAAUUC